rnacentral:rRNA from 1 species
UACGUAGGGUGCAAGCGUUGUCCGGAAUUAUUGGGCGUAAAGAGCGUGUAGGCGGCUAUACAGGUCCGUUGUGAAAACUCGAGCUCAACCUCGAGACGCCGAUGGAAACCGUAUGGCUAGAGUCCGGAAGAGGAGAGCGGAAUUCCGUGGUGUAGCGGUGAAAUGCGCAGAUAUCAGGAAGAACACCGUGGCGAAGGCGGCUCUCUGGGACGGUACUGACGCUGAGACGCGAAAGCGUGGGGAGCGAACAGG